rnacentral:rRNA from 1 species
UACGUAGGGUGCGAGCGUUGUCCGGAAUUAUUGGGCGUAAAGAGCUUGUAGGCGGUUUGUCGCGUCUGCCGUGAAAAUCCGGGGCUCAACCCCGGACUUGCGGUGGGUACGGGCAGACUAGAGUGUGGUAGGGGAGACUGGAAUUCCUGGUGUAGCGGUGAAAUGCGCAGAUAUCAGGAGGAACACCGAUGGCGAAGGCAGGUCUCUGGGCCACUACUGACGCUGAGGCACGAAAGCUAGGGGAGCAAACAGG